rnacentral:rRNA from 1 species
ACGUAGGGCGCGAGCGUUGUCCGGAAUUACUGGGCGUAAAGGGCGCGUAGGCGGGUAAUUAAGUCAGAUGUGAAAGCCCCGGGCUUAACUCGGGGAGUGCAUUUGAAACUAAUUAUCUUGAGGGCAGGAAAGGAAAGUGGAAUUCCUAGUGUAGCGGUGGAAUGCGUAGAUAUUAGGAGGAACACCAGUGGCGAAGGCGACUUUCUGGACUGUACCUGACGCUGAGGCGCGAAAGCAUGGGGAGCAAACGG